rnacentral:rRNA from 1 species
GACGAACGCUGGCGGCGUGCCUAAUACAUGCAAGUUGAGCGCUGAAGGUUGGUACUUGUACCAACUGGAUGAGUAGCGAACGGGUGAGUAACGCGUGGGGAAUCUGCCUUUGAGCGGGGGACAACAUUUGGAAACGAAUGCUAAUACCGCAUAAAAACUUUAAACACAAGUUUUAAGUUUGAAAGAUGCAAUUGCAUCACUCAAAGAUGAUCCCGCGUUGUAUUAGCUAGUUGGUGAGGUAAAGGCUCACCAAGGCGAUGAUACAUAGCCGACCUGAGAGGGUGAUCGGCCACAUUGGGACUGAGACACGGCCCAAACUCCUACGGGAGGCAGCAGUAGGGAAUCUUCGGCAAUGGACGAAAGUCUGACCGAGCAACGCCGCGUGAGUGAAGAAGAUUUUCGGAUCGUAAAACUCUGUUGGUAGAGAAGAACGUUGGUGAGAGUGGAAAGCUCAUCAAGUGACGGUAACUACCCAGAAAGGGACGGCUAACUACGUG